AAUUGCUAGUAAUCGCGGAUCAGCAUGCCGCGGUGAAUACGUUCCCGGGCCUUGUACACACCGCCCGUCACACCAUGGGAGCCGGUAAUACCCGAAGUCAGUAGUCCAACCACGUGAGGACGCUGCCGAAGGUAGGAUUGGCGACUGGGGUGAAGUCGUAACAAGGUAGC
rnacentral:rRNA from 1 species